CGGUGGAGUAUGUGGUUUAAUUCGAUGCAACGCGAAGAACUUACCUGGUCUUGACAUCCCGGAGACCCUUAGGAACUAGGGGUGCUUCCAUCUGGAAGAAUCUGGAGACAGGUGCUGCAUGGCUGUCGUCAGCUCGUGUCGUGAGAUGUUGGGUUAAGUCCCGCAACGAGCGCAACCCUUGCCUUUAGUUGCCAGCAGUUCGGCUGGGCACUCUAAAGGGACUGCCGGUGUUAAACCGGAGGAAGUGGGGAUGACGUCAAGUCCUCAUGGCCUUUAUGACCAGGGCUACACACGUACUACAAUGGCCGAUACAAAGGGCAGCGACACUGCGAGGUGAAGCCAAUCCCGUAAAAUCGGUCUCAGUCCGGAUUGGAGUCUGCAACUCGACUCCAUGAAGUUGGAAUCGCUAGUAAUCGUGGAUCAGCAUGCCACGGUGAAUACGUUCCCGGGCCUU
rnacentral:rRNA from 1 species